UCCCUUAGAUGUCCUGGGCCGCACGCGCGUUACACUGAUGCAUUCAACGAGCUUAUAACCUUGGCCGAGAGGCCUGGGCAAUCUUGUUAACGUGCAUCGUGAUAGGGAUAGAUUAUUGAAAUUAUUAAUCUUGAACGAGGAAUUCCUAGUAAACGCAGAUCAUCAAUCUGCAUUGAUUACGUCCCUGCCCUUUGUACACACCGCCCGUCGCACCUACCGAUUGGAUGGUCCGGUGAAGCCUCGGGAUUGUGGUUCUUGCCGCUUUAUUGUGGCGUGACCGCGAGAACUUGUCUAAACCUUAUCAUCUAGAGGAAGGUGAANUCGUAACA
rnacentral:rRNA from 1 species